UCCAGUCAUUUGCAACAAAAUGGAGGAAUCUGGAACACAUCAUGCUGAGUGAAAUAAGCCAGUCCCAAAGGGACAAAUACCAUAUGUUCUCCCUGAUCGGUGACGACUGACUGAACACCAAGAGGGAAACCUGUUGGAGUGAGGUGGACACUAUGGGAAAUGGUGGCUUGAUCAGCAUAGCCCUGACUGUUAAUGAACAACUUAAUACAUUAUCCCUCUUAGUAGUUUUUUUAUCUGUUCUACUUAAUAUGACUGGUUUAGUUCUGUAAUUGAUGCACAGUUAUUCUUAAGUGUUGAAAAUUAACUGAAAUGUGAUCCCUGUUGAACAUGGGAGUGGGAAUGGGAGAGGGAAUAGAUGUAUAAUUUGGGACAUGCUCAGGCUGACUUGCCCCAAGUGGUGGAGUUGGAAACAUACCAGGGGAUUCCAAUUCAAUCCCAUCGAGGUGGCAUGUACCAAUGCCAUCUCACUGUUCCAGGUGAUCAAUUUCAGUUCACAGUUGGUCAUGGUGGAGGGACUGAGAGUCAAAGGGAGCACAUAGACAAGUCUAGUACCUGCUAACGCUAACCGAUGGAGUAAAUAAAGGGGAGAGUGAUCCAACAUGGGAAGUGAGAUACUCAGCAGACUCAUAGAAUGGCAGAUGUCCUAAAUAGCACUCUGGCCUCAGAAUCAGCCCUAAAGGCAUUCGGAGCUGGCUGAAAAGCUCAUGAGAGUAUUUCAGGCAUGGAAAGCCAAGACACUCUGGCAAAAGAUCUCUGUGAGUGAGAUCCCAGUGGAAAGAACAGGUCAUCAAAGAAGGAGGUACCUUUCUCUGAAGGGAGGAGAGAACCUCCACUUUGACUAUGACCUUGUCUAAACAAGAUAAGAGUCGGAGAACUCAGAGGGCUUCCAUAGCCUUGGAAACUCAUGACUGGAGCAUAGGGAGACUACUGAUGCCAUAGACAGGAGUGUCAAUUGGUAAAGUCAACAACAGGAGUCACUGUGCACUUACUCCUCAUGUAGGAUCUCUAUCCUUAAUGUGCUGUGCAUUGAGAUUUAAUGCUAUAACGAGUACUCAAACAAUGUAUUUCACCUUGUGUUUCUAUGGGGGUGCAAACUGUUGAAAUCCUUACUUAAUGCAUACUAAACUGAUCCUCUGUAAAAAAAAAAAAAAAAAAAAAAAAAAAAGAAAUUA